rnacentral:rRNA from 1 species
GCACGGGUGCGUAACGCGUAUGCAAUCUACCUUUUACAGAGGGAUAGCCCAGAGAAAUUUGGAUUAAUACCUCAUAGUAUAUAGACUCGGCAUCGAGAUUAUAUUAAAGUCACAACGGUAAAAGAUGAGCAUGCGUCCCAUUAGCUAGUUGGUAAGGUAACGGCUUACCAAGGCUACGAUGGGUAGGGGUCCUGAGAGGGAGAUCCCCCACACUGGUACUGAGACACGGACCAGACUCCUACGGGAGGCAGCAGUGAGGAAUAUUGGACAAUGGGCGCAAGCCUGAUCCAGCCAUGCCGCGUGCAGGAUGACGGUCCUAUGGAUUGUAAACUGCUUUUAUACGAGAAGAAACACUGCUACGUGUAGCAGCUUGACGGUAUCGUAAGAAUAAGGAUCGGCUAACUCCGUGCCAGCAGCCGCGGUAAUACGGAGGAUCCAAGCGUUAUCCGGAAUCAUUGGGUUUAAAGGGUCCGUAGGCGGUUUAAUAAGUCAGUGGUGAAAGCCCAUCGCUCAACGGUGGAACCGCCAUUGAUACUGUUAGACUUGAAUUAUUA